rnacentral:rRNA from 1 species
UACGUAGGGUGCGAGCGUUGUCCGGAAUUAUUGGGCGUAAAGGGCUCGUAGGCGGUUUGUCGCGUCGGGAGUGAAAACACCGGGCUUAACUCGGUGCUUGCUUUCGAUACGGGCAGACUAGAGGCAUGCAGGGGAGAACGGAAUUCCUGGUGUAGCGGUGAAAUGCGCAGAUAUCAGGAGGAACACCGGUGGCGAAGGCGGGUCUCUGGGCCGUAACUGACGCUGAGGAGCGAAAGCGUGGGGGAGCGAACAGG